UUUUGGCAGUUAGUUAAUAAAAAAAAAAUUAUGCGAAUUUUGUUCAAAAUCCUCAAACUUUUAAUAGUUGAUUGAAUAAGUUCUUAUGAGACUAAAUUAUUGACUGUGUUCGGGCGCAAAUAGUGCUUGGAAUAUGAUCUAAAACUAGUUUGAGGUGACGUGUUUGCCGGGAGUGCGGAGGUGCAGUUGGAGUGCGGCGUCGCGCAGUGCAUCGCGACGGCCGUGACGCCAUGGCGGAUGGAGGCGUCGGAGGCGCUCCGACCUCCACAGAUCAGCUCGGAUUCUGGAUGGAGCUUCGUCAAAUGGAUUCUGGUUUCAACACCUACAACGUGGUGAGCGUCAACAGUCGAUAAAAGAUGGUAAAUCUUCGGCAUGGUCCGGCUGCAAAGGUAAGUCUUUAGACCCAUAAUAAUCAUUAUCAAAGCCACAACGCCAUGGGGGUGCCCAUAAAAUUGAUGACCGCUGGGUAAUUUAAAACAAGAGCAAAGGGCCCAUUUUUUUGUGAAAUGGUGGAGGCGAGUAAGUCUUUACGUCGGCGUUAUGGCAUAUUUCGGACCAGUAAAACACGACUAAAGUGACAAUCGCCACGGGCGGUGUUUAGAUAAAACUAGAGAGGUCGAAUGCUAUCUACUUAUUGUGCAUACGAUCAGGUCAGGGGUGUCUUCAGCUUUCAGCAAUUUAAUACCCCAGAUACCCCAAAUAUUUAGAGAGUACUAUUUUGAAUUUGGUUAAGCCGCAAGAACUCUUUUUUUAAAUUUGAACCUCCUUACAACCGACUGGAUUCAUGCAGGCAAAGCAAUUAAGAUUUCAGGUUUUCAAAUCUGGCAGUAUUGAACACUU